CCCUGAAGAAGAAAGGAAUGGAGUCUAAGCUAACCUACCAGGUUUGUACUGGAAGUCCUGCCAACAGCCUUUAAGGAGGCCUGCCUCUCCUGCAGUCAGAUGUGACCAAAGGAAUAUGAGUGAAAGGAAUGUGUACCUCUACCAAGCAUGACGCAUAUGAAGAAACAAGCCAUCCAUCCACAUCUGAUCCUUGUCUUAUUCUCUAUCUGCCAGCUGAAUGGAGAGAAAGAACUCCUGCUGGCCCACACUGGACUAUGACAUGAGCAAGAAAUACACUUUUAUUAUGUUAAGCCACUAAUAUUUUGGGAUUUUUUUUUUAGAGCAAUGGAAUCUAUCAUGAUGAAUACAUUUUUUAACAUUCUAAUAUCUUUUUUUUUGCUAAAAUUGAUCCAUAUUCUGCAUACUUGCUUUUGUCACUGAUCAUGUAAAUUUUCCCAAAUCUGUUAGUAUAGAGGCUAUUCAUUCUUUUUAAUAGGGGUGUAAUAAUCCUAUAUGUAUUACAGUAUAUAUUUAAUACAUUAUAUUCAACAUAUAUGAUUUAAUAAUUAUUACAGAUGAGCAUAUCUUUGCUUUUAGAUUCCUACUUCUAUAAAUGAUGCUGCAAUAAACAUUCUUAUACAUCCCCA